CUCCGGCCUGGGUAACAAGAGCGAAACUCCCUCUCAAAAAAAAAAAAAAAAAAAAAAAAGUCAGCCAGUCCCAUUAAAUGUAGUGCCGAGAUCUAAGCUUCCAGGCAUAAAAACAGCAGCAUAUUUUUAGAAGUGGCAUCCUAUCUUUCAGCUUCUAAAUUUACUUUGGCAGAAUAAUAAUUGUCAAAUACCACUGGCCUCAAUCCUUAUGCCUCUUCCUUAUGCCUCUUUUUCUGUAGGAAAUGGAGACUCAAUGAGGUUAUGGCUGUAAGACAACUGUCUUCAUGUUGAAUCGCCAUUAAAGUGAAUGUAGGAAAAAUCCCAUCACGGCAUAAUUGGUGGACAUACACAUUCAGAUAGCUUAUCGGUCAAACCACAUCUCCAAAACAGCUGAAGAGAGACAAAUCUGGAUGGUCCUGGACACUCAUUUCCUCCUUCAUUUUGGUUAUUUGGCAGAAAACUAGCUCGGCAGAUGUAGUCUCACUCUGUUGCCCAGGCUGGAGUGCAGUGGCAUGAUCUUGACUCACUGCAACCUCUGCCUCCUAGGUUCAAGCGAUUUCCCUGCCUCAGCCUCCU
rnacentral:lncRNA from 13 species